AUGGUGCGUAUCCCCGUGGUCCCUGGGACACGGACACUGUUAGGGAGUUAUUCCGCUCUCACGAAGUUGUCACCCACAGCAGCGGCGGCUCCUACUGCCCUGCCUUGCCCUGCCCAGCCCAGCCCAGUACAGCUGGCCGGUCCCCGGGCCACCACCGCGCCCGUCCCUGACACUGCCCCGGCCGGGAGCUGCGGGGGCCGGUCCGCGGCGGGGCGGUGGCUUUCAGCCGGCCACGGGGGUGACCCAAAGCGGCAGCUCUUCUUCCACGAGCCCCCUCGCACCUCCUCUGCUCCCCGCUCCGGGACCCGCUGCACCGGGUCACCGCGUUCUCCCGCCUGCGCCGCUGCCAGGCGCGGCCCCCUCCGGCCCCGGCCCCGGCCCUGCCCCCGGGCGCUCCUGCGGAGCCCCGCUCCGCCGGCAGCCGAGGCGCAGAGGCGGGGGUGGCAUCCGCUGCCGGGAGCGGGGCUGGGCUGGGUGCCGGGAGCAGCGGGGCAGCGCCCACAGCCGCAGGGAAGAGCCGCCGGGAGCCACGGCGGGACUGGCAGCCGCCCGCCGCCGAGCUCGGCGCGGAGGAUCGGCACAUCCCCGUUCGCCGGGGGCGGCUCUGCCAACCCCCCCGUCGCCUCCCCGCCUCCCUCCCCUCCUUCCCUCCUUCCUUCCCUCCCCGCCCCUCCGGAGCGACAUCCCUGCGAGUUUGCCUGGCUGCCCGCGCCCGUCGCUGGGCGCUCGCCGCCGCAUCUCUCUCUCCAUCAACUCCUGGGAGCCGCCGGCGGAGGGCAGGAACCCGAAGUUGCGGCCAGCCCGGGUGGAAAAGUAGCGGCAGAGAGGAAGGGGCCGGAGCCGAGCGCAGCCCGGCCCAGCCGAGCGGGGCCGGCGCGGCGGCCGCCACCCGCAGCCCCCAGCCGGGGCUGGCCCCGCGCCCCGGGCCGCGCCGGCCGGGGCAGAGCGACGCAGCCCUGCGGGAGCCGGCGCGGACCCGCCGCGAAAGAACCAACAUGCGAAGUGAAAGGAAACCUGAAACUGCUCUUCUGACAAGAAAGUAUUGGCUUUCUGCCUCUUCCACAUGUUUUCCUUUUGCAUCAUAAUGGAAGGAGCAGGAUUUUUUGAAUCAUUGAGGCCAAAUUUGGGCAUCACUGGCUGAAGAAAAGAUUAAAAGAGAUUGAAAAUAUGUCAAUAUUCUGUGACUCCUAAUUCAGAUUCAUCUUCACAAACAGAGAGGAAUAGUGGUUAAAGCACUGCAGUUUCACCAAAAGGAUUUAAUGGAGGGUCUAUGUUGUUUUUUUUAAAUUAUUGUUUUCCUUCAUGUCCCUCUAUGAAUCCCAAAAGACAGAGAUGGAAAGAGUAUGUAAGGAAAUCAAGAAAAGGCAAAGACUGAAGACAAUAGCUUCAAUUUUGGAGUCUAUUUUCCAAGUGCUGUAUAUUCUCUAUAUUAUCAAAUAUAACACAUUGUUUUGAAUAAGUUAUAUCAUUUUGUGAUGAGUGGAGUUUUCGUCAGCUCUAAAAGUGGAAUUUGACCUGCUUGAAAGCUUUUUUAAAAAGCAAAUAUAUGACUCCAAUUCUCUUUUCAGAUCAUGCUUUUCAAGUUACCAAGAGACAGUGUUUCAGUCUGUUACUGUGCAUUGUCGACCUGUGCUUUAUAUGCACAUCUUACAGAUUUUACUUUUCCCCUGAUCUUAGUGUUUAUGCUUGUAGUGCUGUGUUUGAGAAAAGUGUGAACAGACAAGGCACCUGAGAUUUAACUUUUCAAGAGCCUUGUUGUUUCAAUGUAUCUCAGAUUAUAAGUAAUCUGAGCCUUUGUUGUGUAAUGCACAGUAUACAAUAAGUCUUUUCUCCUAAAAAUAUGCCUUAAAAUACUAUUUUUUUUACUAACUGGAUGAAUGUUUGAUAUCUGAACACUGUGUUUUGUGAAGAAAUGUAUGUCUGGGGAA
rnacentral:lncRNA from 13 species